CGGGAUCCCUAGAGGCUAAAACAGAAAUUAUAAUCCCUAUUCCCAAAUCUUACUAUUUCGGUCUUUUCUCUCUUCAUUUCCUUCACUUCUUCCUCGAUCUUGAAGGCGGACACCGUGAGGAAGGACGAAGGAGCGGCUUACCAGUCGAGCGUCGGACGGAGCUCAGCUCUCUCUUCCCCUUAAUCUCUUUGCCCUCUUCUCCGUCGGUGAAUGACUCUCCGGGUCUUCUGGAGAAAGACGAGGGUUUCGCGGGUGUGAUUUUUCCCCAAAAUUCGAUGCCCUAAUUUAGGGACUCGUUGUUUCACGGGCGUGGUUUUCCCCCAAAAUCCGAAACGGCCCGACGGGGGUCUUGAAGGUGAUCUUCCCGGUGAGCUCCUUGAUCUUCCCCCAAAUUCCUGAUCUUGCCCUGCUCUACCUGGACCGUGAUCUCGGGCGCGUAGGAGACUAGCUUCCCGAUCUUCUCGAGCUUGCAGGGACCUGACUGGGUAUUCUUUGGAAGGGCCGCUGGCGCCGGAGCUUGGAAAACUUAGUCAAUUACGAUCUCUUGUUUUUGCAGGGUGUGAACUCUCUAUUUUGCCUCCGUGACAAAGCUCUCUUCUGACUGAAGUAAGGAAAAAAUAAUCUCAAGAGAUGACUCUUUCCGAUGCAAUGAUGCACAAUAAUCUCUCCUUGUGUCGUUAAAGCCAUUCAUAUACAAGUUAGAUGGCCCUUUUAUUUGGAGAGAGUCUGGGAUUUGCAGUAGGAACUACUAUCAAAUGUUGUGAAGCAUUCAUCUUAUCUUGAUAUGAACAACCAUUGGCAUAUUUUCAUAAGGAGCAGAAUCAGAUGACCCUUGUAUUUGGAGUCAUUGUCAAACUAUCAUACUUGCUUCUUGGUCUACCAUGCUUAAAUCUCACCCAUGCACAUUGGGAACCUGUCUCGCUGUUCCCUGCACCUAAACACUACCCUGCUGAGGCAAAUUACAAGGUUUGAAAGGUUAAAGGGAUAAACAUAGUCCACUCAUUCAGAUACAUGAUGCAUUGUAACUUUCAAUGUCGAAUUGUACAGUUUCUCAGCGAUUACUGUCUUACUUUUUGUCUUGUUAGAAAUUCAUGCCAAGUUCCUCACGUUAAUCUUGAUAUUUUCGCUCCUGUAGGCCAGGAGAGUUACAGAGGCUUCGAAAAAUGACAAAUAUCAGUACACAUACUUUGGACACAAGAUAAACAGUUUCAAUAGUGCUCCCAAAAAAGUUCUGGCUUUUGACUCUCAUCUACGUCUCGAUAGAUAUGCACUUGAGCAGGGUGACCUCCCUAAAACUGGUGAUGAAAAGAGCAGGUUUCUCUUCUUCUUCUUCUUCUUCUUGACUUUAGAUGUGAUGUUUUAAUUUGGCAUUAGUUGGUACAUGCGAAAAAAAUUAAUUUUAAUUCUUGUUUGCGCCUCCUUUUGGUGUUGGUUAAGGUUAAUUUAGUUAUGUGCAGCUUGUAGAAGAUUGGCUUU